AUGCCCCUCCUGCUCUCUGAAGCUCCCUCCACAGACUCCUCCACCCCAGAACCUUCCGACAGGUAAGCUUCAAACCCUUCAUACCUAUCCAGUUCCCUAGCUCCUGGCCAGCCUCUAACUGUUCAGCCCCCGAACCCCCUGUUUCCACCCACCCUGAACCAGGGGAUCUCUGCAGGUUGUGCUGACUCCCCCAUGGCCUUGUGGCCACCAGGGGAUGCUGGGGAAAUCCUCUCCACCUGAGCAAAUCAGAACUUCCUGUAGGACACAGGUGUCAGGAUCAGCUUCUGGUUGAGCUGGUUGAUAUUCUAGGUAGCGCACCUUGAAGUUUCUCAGGAUUGACAGUCAUUGUGUCUGUUCUAAAGAAGGUGAAGGAAUUUGAUGGAAAGAAAGUAGGAAGAGUCGCCCAGACUUGCAGGCUGCCUCCUGUACUUAUUCUGAGAACGUGUUCACAUGGCAUAGGCGUUUCCUUUUGUGGCCAUUUGUAAGAAUGGGAAAUGAAUGACUUUUUUUUUUUUUUUUUGAGACGGAGUCUCACUCUGUCACCCAGGCUGGAGUGCAGUGGCGUGAUCUCGCCUCACUGCCAGCUCCGCCUCCCAGGUUCACGCCAUUCUGCUGCCUCAGCCUCCCAAGUAACUGGGACUACAGGCCCCCGCCACCAAGCCAGGCUAAUUUUUUUGUUUUUUUUUUAGUAGAGACAGGUUUCACCGUGUUAGUCAGGAUGGUCUCAAUCUCCUGACCUCAUGAUCCACCCGCCUUGGCCUCCCAAAGUGCUGGGAUUACAGGUGUGAGCCACUGCGCCUGACCAGGAAAUGACUUAUUCUUACAAAUGACCACAGAGAUGAGUUCUCCCUGUGUUGCCCAAGCUGGUCUGGAACUCCUGGGCUCAAGCAAUCCUCCCACCUCCCAGUGUUGAGAUUAUAGAUUCUCCAUCCUUCUCUUAAUUGAAGAUUGUGUUUUUCAAGCUAUGGUUCAUCAUUGCUGCUUUCCUUACAAAAUGAAUUCGAAUGGCAAUCAGCAUUUUCUUAAGGAAUAUAGUAGAUUUAAUUACAUAAAAAGAAUUGAAAAUAUCAGAGACUAUUGUACAUAACUAUUUACGUUCCAUGAAAUUGUUAGUAUACACACACAUCCCUGAACUAGGUCAGGACGUAAAGUAUACUUAGUAUACUUGGUUAAGAUGAAAAUAUUUUGAAAAGACCAUUUAAGAAGAAAAUGACCCUAGAAUUCAUCUGGAGCUUCCAGUUAGGAGGCUAGAGCUUCCUGUUCCAGGAAGGCUUGGUGCUCCGGGAGAGAGUGAGUCCCCUGGUGAAAGGUUCAGGCUGAGGGAAGCCCAGGCCCUGGCAGUUCCCCCUGACCCUCCACCCGACAUAUGGAGGCUGGAAGGCCCACCUGUGUUGUCUCACUUUUCUCCCUUUUAGGUAUGUCUAGAGGUCAGUUUGGACAGGGACAGGAACCUCUAGACAUGUUUUUCUGGGUGAACGAGAUAAGCGGAGAAAUCACCUACCCCCCGCAGAAGGCAGAUGCACCUGCUGUUUCUCCUGAGAGCCCACAAAAGAAGCCCCCAUUUCAGCCCAGGAGUGUGCAGGAGGCUCCUUGCAGUCCCCAGGGCCCGCCUGCACAGAGGCCUGCCCUUGCACCUCCAUCUAAGCCUUCUCUGAAAGACUCAGGCUCAAGAAACCCCUGCCCAUCUGCACCCACCUGGGCCAGGCCAAAGCCGGAGGAGUGAGGAGCCCCCACCGUUCUCAGCAAUCCCUGUCACCAUCUCAUCACCAGGAGUGACUCUGCCCAUACUCGGACCCCUGGGACCAGCCCUUCAGCCACCGGUCUCGACCUCUCCUCUCAGCCCUUCUGCACCCUGGGCCUUCACCUGCAAGCUGAACAAUGUCCUUACUGGGAAUAACUGGUUUUCCUUUUGAAUCUUAAGAAAAUUUGUCUGGCUACACUCUUUAAGCACCUUCCUGAGCCACCCGUGGCCAGGCUCUGCUGGCCGCAUCUGCCUGGCCCCAUCUACCUUCCCUGGAAGCACAGGACUCACCCCAGGGGUCUCACAGGAACAUGCCCAGUGCUUUCAAACCCAGUAAAAUUUUACUUAGAUUUUG
rnacentral:lncRNA from 1 species